rnacentral:rRNA from 1 species
UACGGGGGGUGCAAGCGUUGUUCGGAAUUAUUGGGCGUAAAGAGCGUGUAGGCGGCGUGAUAAGUCAGAUGUGAAAGCCCUGGGCUUAACCCAGGAAGUGCAUUUGAAACUGUCUUGCUUGAGUACGGGAGAGGGAAGAGGAAUUCCUGGUGUAGAGGUGAAAUUCGUAGAUAUCAGGAGGAACACCGGUGGCGAAGGCGACUUCCUGGCCCGAUACUGACGCUGAGACGCGAGAGCGUGGGGAGCAAACAGG